rnacentral:rRNA from 1 species
AGAGUUUGAUCAUGGCUCAGGACGAACGCUGGCGGUGUGCUUAACACAUGCAAGUCGAACGGAAAGGCCCUUCGGGGUACUCGAGUGGCGAACGGGUGAGUAACACGUGGGUGAUCUGCCCUGCACUUUGGGAUAAGCCUGGGAAACUGGGUCUAAUACCGAAUAGGACCACGCGCUUCAUGGUGUGUGGUGGAAAGCUUUUGCGGUGUGGGAUGGGCCCGCGGCCUAUCAGCUUGUUGGUGGGGUAAUGGCCUACCAAGGCGACGACGGGUAGCCGGCCUGAGAGGGUGACCGGCCACACUGGGACUGAGAUACGGCCCAGACUCCUACGGGAGGCAGCAGUGGGGAAUAUUGCACAAUGGGCGCAAGCCUGAUGCAGCGACGCCGCGUGAGGGAUGACGGCCUUCGGGUUGUAAACCUCUUUCAAUAGGGACGAAGCGCAAGUGACGGUACCUAUAGAAGAAGCACCGGCCAACUACGUGCCAGCAGCCGCGGUAAUACGUAGGGUGCGAGCGUUGUCCGGAAUUACUGGGCGUAAAGAGCUCGUAGGUGGUUUGUCGCGUUGUUCGUGAAAACUCACAGCUUAACUGUGGGCGUGCGGGCGAUACGGGCAGACUAGAGUACUGCAGGGGAGACUGGAAUUCCUGGUGUAGCGGUGGAAUGCGCAGAUAUCAGGAGGAACACCGGUGGCGAAGGCGGGUCUCUGGGCAGUAACUGACGCUGAGGAGCGAAAGCGUGGGGAGCGAACAGGAUUAGAUACCCUGGUAGUCCAA